AUGGCUUCAGGUGCAGCCGCUCUCACUCUGAGGCUGGCCGCCGUCGCUGCCGUCCUCGCCCUGCUGGUCAUACCCUCCUUGGCACGCUGUCCGUCCCUUGGUCCAGCACCACCACCAUCACCACCGGCGCAGCCGCCGCCACCACCACUAGAGGCGAUACCACCACCACCACCGGCACAGGCGCCACCGCCACCACCGGAGGCGAUACCACCACCACCGCCGCCGCAGGCGCCGCCACCACCACUAGAGGCGAUACCACCACCACCACCGGAGGCGACACCACCGCCACCACCGGAGGCGAUACCGCCAGCGCCCGUGCCGGAUCCACCUCGGCCAUGCAAUAUCUGUAGCAGAGAGUGCUACCCGGCGUGCACAGCGGCCAAAGCCGCUCUGCCAGAUUCCAAGGCCUGCGACGAGAAAUGCCGCAACGAGAAGAGCCGCUGCGACAAGUGCACGAUCCCGAAGAUCGAGGAGUGCACGGCCAAGUGCAACGGCAGCUGUGACUGCCACACCGAAGUCUACAAGUCAUGCAGCGACGACUGCCUCUUCCCAGAAUGCAGCCCCUGCAUGACCAUCCGUCAAUUUCAAAUGAAGGAUUGCAGGCACCAGUGCAACAUCGACUACUGCAACGGCAAUAAGUGCUGGUGA
rnacentral:rRNA from 1 species